AUUGAACGCUGGCGGCAGGCCUAACACAUGCAAGUCGAGCGGAUGAAGGGAGCUUGCUCCUGGAUUCAGCGGCGGACGGGUGAGUAAUGCCUAGGAAUCUGCCUGGUAGUGGGGGAUAACGUCCGGAAACGGGCGCUAAUACCGCAUACGUCCUGAGGGAGAAAGUGGGGGAUCUUCGGACCUCACGCUAUCAGAUGAGCCUAGGUCGGAUUAGCUAGUUGGUGGGGUAAAGGCCUACCAAGGCGACGAUCCGUAACUGGUCUGAGAGGAUGAUCAGUCACACUGGAACUGAGACACGGUCCAGACUCCUACGGGAGGCAGCAGUGGGGAAUAUUGGACAAUGGGCGAAAGCCUGAUCCAGCUAUGCCGCGUGUGUGAAGAAGGUCUUCGGAUUGUAAAGCACUUUAAGUUGGGAGGAAGGGAAGUAAGUUAAUACCUUGCUGUUUUGACGUUACCAACAGAAUAAGCACCGGCUAACUUCGUG
rnacentral:rRNA from 1 species